AUCGCUUCUCGGCCUUUUGGCUAAGAUCAAGUGUAGUAUCUGUUCUUAUCAGUUUAAUGUCUGAUACGUCUCCUAUCCGGGGACUAUAUGUUAAAUGGAUUUUUGACCUUCGGAAAUGGAAGCGGAGCUUGCUCCUUCUAGUGAUGGUCAACCCGGAUCUUUUUAAGGAUUCGGGUUAUUCU